rnacentral:rRNA from 1 species
GACGAACGCUGGCGGCGUGCUUAACACAUGCAAGUCGAACGGAAAGGCCCUGCUUUUGUGGGGUGCUCGAGUGGCGAACGGGUGAGUAACACGUGAGUAACCUGCCCUUGACUUUGGGAUAACUUCAGGAAACUGGGGCUAAUACCGGAUAGGAGCUCCUGCUGCAUGGUGGGGGUUGGAAAGUUUCGGCGGUUGGGGAUGGACUCGCGGCUUAUCAGCUUGUUGGUGGGGUAGUGGCUUACCAAGGCUUUGACGGGUAGCCGGCCUGAGAGGGUGACCGGCCACAUUGGGACUGAGAUACGGCCCAGACUCCUACGGGAGGCAGCAGUGGGGAAUAUUGCACAAUGGGCGGAAGCCUGAUGCAGCAACGCCGCGUGCGGGAUGACGGCCUUCGGGUUGUAAACCGCUUUCGCCUGUGACGAAGCGUGAGUGACGGUAAUGGGUAAAGAAGCACCGGCUAACUACGUGCCAGCAGCCGCGGUGAUACGUAGGGUGCGAGCGUUGUCCGGAUUUAUUGGGCGUAAAGGGCUCGUAGGUGGUUGAUCGCGUCGGAAGUGUAAUCUUGGGGCUUAACCCUGAGCGUGCUUUCGAUACGGGUUGACUUGAGGAAGGUAGGGGAGAAUGGAAUUCCUGGUGGAGCGGUGGAAUGCGCAGAUAUCAGGAGGAACACCAGUGGCGAAGGCGGUUCUCUGGGCCUUUCCUGACGCUGAGGAGCGAAAGCGUGGGGAGCGAACAGGCUUAGAUACCCUGGUAGUCCACGCUGUAAACGGUGGGUACUAGGUGUGGGGUCCAUUCCACGGGUUCCGUGCCGUAGCUAACGCUUUAAGUACCCCGCCUGGGGAGUACGGCCGCAAGGCUAAAACUCAAAGGAAUUGACGGGGCCCCGCACAAGCGGCGGAGCAUGCGGAUUAAUUCGAUGCAACGCGUAGAACCUUACCUGGGUUUGACAUGGAUCGGGAGCGCUCAGAGAUGGGUGUGCCUCUUUUGGGGUCGGUUCACAGGUGGUGCAUGGCUGUCGUCAGCUCGUGUCGUGAGAUGUUGGGUUAAGUCCCGCAACGAGCGCAACCCUUGUUCACUGUUGCCAGCACGUUAUGGUGGGGACUCAGUGGAGACCGCCGGGGUCAACUCGGAGGAAGGUGGGGAUGACGUCAAGUCAUCAUGCCCCUUAUGUCCAGGGCUUCACGCAUGCUACAAUGGCUGGUACAGAGAGUGGCGAGCCUGUGAGGGUGAGCGAAUCUCGGAAAGCCGGUCUCAGUUCGGAUUGGGGUCUGCAACUCGACCUCAUGAAGUCGGAGUCGCUAGUAAUCGCAGAUCAGCAACGCUGCGGUGAAUACGAUCCCGGG